rnacentral:rRNA from 1 species
UACGUAGGGUGCAAGCGUUAAUCGGAAUUACUGGGCGUAAAGCGUGCGCAGGCGGUUUUGUAAGUUUGUCGUGAAAUCCCCGGGCUUAACCUGGGAAUUGCGAUGAAGACUGCAAGGCUAGAAUCUGGCAGAGGGGGGUAGAAUUCCACGUGUAGCAGUGAAAUGCGUAGAUAUGUGGAGGAAUACCGAUGGCGAAGGCAGCCCCCUGGGUCAAGACUGACGCUCAUGCACGAAAGGCGUGGGGAGCAAACAGGAUUAACGAAACCCG